rnacentral:lncRNA from 1 species
AAGGAAAGAAGCCGGCGCCGGGAAGCCCACGGCCAACAACUGUAGGAGCUGGUGGGGGAGCUGUCAAGAGAACCCCCGGGUGGAACCUCUGGGAAGGGGACGCGUGCGCCGAGGGGCGCGGAUCUGCGGGGACCUGCGCGGCAAGGGCGGCCCGGGGACGGCGGCGGAAGCUCGGGUGAGAGGCGCGCGGGGAACAGGGUGCCCGGGAGGGGGCUCGCGCGCCGCCGCACGGCCCGGAGGGUGGAGACCGGAGCCGGCGCCCGCGGGAGGCAGGGCGGAGCGAAGCCCAGCGCGGGGCCAGGGUGGCCGGCGCCCCCGGGCAGCGAGAGCCCCGCAGAACUCGAGGGGGCGGAGUGCGCGUCCCAGCGCGUCCCGUGCGGUGACAGCGCGCGUCCCGUCCCCCGCCCGACCCGCUCACCUGGGCUCGCCGCUCGCAGCCGCCCGGCAGGCAGUCCCGGCCCUCCGCCUCCCAGUCCGGCCGCCGGCCGCCGCGCUCCGCCAGCGCCUCCUUUUGUUUGUCCCUCACUGCACCACUCUGCCUCCCCCGCCCCGGAAGUGACGUCACGGCCGGACGCACCCGCGGCCUCCCGGCCGCCGCCAUCUCUGCGAAGGGGAAAAGCUUGAGGCCGCUUCGCCCUACUCCCUGCCACGCGCCUGCGCCAAGCCACUUCGGGGCGGAAGUAACGGGGCCGAGCUAAGCCCCCUUAAAGGGACAGGGAUCCCUGCAAGUUAAGGGAUGCGUUACUCCGGCAAGAGCGGCCAAGUGACCCAAGCCGUCGCCAGCGUCCGCUCACCUCCUUUGUUCGGGUUCCGAUCGCCCUUGGGCCAGCGUCCUCAUACCUUUAGUGCUGCUCGUUAGCCGACUAGCUGCCCGAACGCUGCAGGUGCCCGCCUAUGUAACUGCCCUGCUGAUAACCGAUGCGCGACCCGACACGUCCGGCUUGCGACGGUUGCCCCUGAAAAGCCGCAUAAUUCCGAGUUAACUAAAUGGCUUCUCCGCCGCCGCUGCAAUGAAUACUGUUGAACUGAAUUUAAAAGUUUAUUUGGGGAUUAGCCGCUCCCGGGCGAGUCCACUGUCUCACACUAGGAGGACUUUGAAGUCGCCGGACUGGACUGGGUUAGGAACUUUUUGUAGGAGAGGGGAGAGGGGUAGUGCCGGGCUUGGGAAGGUGUUGGAGUUUGGGGAUCCCGUAGGUGUGUCCUGAGUCCAGUGGUCACUUUGGAACUAAGUAUCUGCUUUAUCCAGUAUUUUGCCCCGACUUUUGUAAGCAAGGGCUUCUGGUGGGGAUCUCUUUGUCGGGUUCCCCGGCUUCUGGCAGGAGAUAGAGGGUUGGCACAGUGAGUGAGGGGGAUUUUCCAUCGGGAAAGCUCCAGCCUAUGGUUAGCAGCGAUUUCUGAGCUGAGCUGAGCUCACACACAUCUGAGUAACACCACAUCUUCAGAACC